CAUAGCGAAGGUAUUGAGCCGAAGACAGCAGGUCAUGCAUGGCAUUGAAAGUCGAUUCCGCGCCUGCCGAGGAAAGAUACAGACAAGCUUUGUUUGUAGACCCCAUGUCUUUUGGCAUGGGGUUUUUCGUAUCAUAAG
rfam:Oribacterium sp. oral taxon 078 str. F0262 genomic scaffold Scfld0, whole genome shotgun sequence.